UUUGUGAAGUUAAGAAGAUAUCAAGUGUUGGCAUUCGGUUAAAUCGAAUCGGGUACGCCCAUAAGCGGGUUCGAUCCGACGGAUGUUAUGUUAUCUAAUUGGAUUGGAAUUAAUCUCACUUUCAAAUUGGAAAGUUAGUUAGAGAUAAAUCCUAGUCAUAUUAGGAUAACAAUUAAUAACCGAUUUGGCCUUAUCUCUAACGCUAUUAGGAUUUUGGAAUCCCUUAUAAAUAUGCGGAUGAUCCCACAUAACGUAAUGUACGGAAAGAACGGAAAAAGAAAAGAGAAUAAGAAAACGAAAGAGAGAAACCACAUCCUCCAUCAACCUUCUAAGAGGGACUUGAGCGGUGGAUUUGUGAUCGUGCUCGUUUGUAGUUCGAUCCAUCGCGAGUUUGGAACGUGAGAAGAUUUAAUCAAGGACGAUCAAAGGACACGUAAAUCAACCUCGACGAUCCGGGUUCAUCGCAUUGUAAGGCGAAUCGCUUCCGCAAAAAGGUACAAACGAAUACUUCCAUUGCGUUCCACACUAAGAAAUGACAUAAAAGGGAUGAAAAGAUGAAGUUGGAGAAUGUUUCAUUGCAGAAUUAUAUAUGCAAGUGGAAGAGUAAACUUCUUAGAAGUUGAUUGGUUAUGUCAACUUAACCUUACAUUUCAUACAAACUAAACAUAUAAAAGUAGUUACUUAGCAUACAAUUAUAUUUAGCGACUACUACAUAUGUAGUACCUCCAACCGACAAGAUGUCACGGUUUCUAAACAGGCGAAAUUGAGAUUUGUAUACUCUUUUUAAAUGCACAACCAAUAUUUUAUUCAGCAUAUUUGUUCGAUUUACUAAAACAGCUUACAAUAUUUUAAUUACAGAAGAAAAUUUUGGGACCAAAUAAAUUAUCAC
rnacentral:lncRNA from 1 species